GUGGGGAAUUUUGGACAAUGGGCGAAAGCCUGAUCCAGCCAUGCCGCGUGCAGGAUGAAGGCCUUCGGGUUGUAAACUGCUUUUGUACGGAACGAAAAGACUCCUUCUAAUAAAGGGGGUCCAUGACGGUACCGUAAGAAUAAGCACCGGCUAACUACGUGCCAGCAGCCGCGGUAAUACGUAGGGUGCAAGCGUUAAUCGGAAUUACUGGGCGUAAAGCGCGCGUAGGUGGUUUUGUAAGUUGGAGGUGAAAUCCCCGGGCUCAACCUGGGAACUGCCUCCAAAACUGCAUGACUAGAGUACGGUAGAGGGUAGUGGAAUUUCCUGUGUAGCAGUGAAAUGCGUAGAUAUGCGGAGGAACACCGAUGGCGAAGGCAAUCCCCUGGGCCUGCACUGACGCUCAUGCACGAAAGCGUGGGGAGCAAACAGGAUUAGAUACCCCUGUAGUCC
rnacentral:rRNA from 1 species